rnacentral:rRNA from 1 species
GAUGAACGCUGGCGGCGUGCUUAACACAUGCAAGUCGAACGGAAAGGCCAUAACUUGCUGCGGUUCUCGAGUGGCGAACGGGUGAGUAACACGUGGGUAACCUGCCCUGUACUUUGGGAUAAGCUCAGGAAACUGGGCCUAAUACCGGAUAGGAAUCACACGUGGGUGGGUGGCUGGGGAGCUUUUGCGGUAUGGGGUUGGCACGCGGCUAAUCAGCUUUUUGGAGGGGUAAUGGCCUAUCAACGCGUCGACGGGUAGCCGGCCUGAGAGGGUGGACGGGCACAAUGGGACUGAGAGAGGGCCCAGACUCGUACGGGAGGCAGCGGUGGGAAGUAUUGCACAGUGGGCGCAAGCCUGAGGCAGCGACGCCGCGUGGGGGAUGACGGCCUUCGGGUUGUAAACUGCUUUCGGCUGGGACGAAGCGGUAGUGACGGUACCUGGAUAAGAAGCACCGGCUAACUACGUG